rnacentral:misc_RNA from 1 species
CAAGGCAUGUAGUGGAUUUACCUUACUCAGCGAUAACAAUGACUAGGGAAUUGGAGGGCUUUAGAGAUGCUUGAUAUUGAGAAAAUUGUGCAUAUUCCUCUGCAGAUAUUAAGACAGUUUUCUUAGAGGAUGAAGAAACUGUGGAUUCAUCUAUUGCCAUGUUUGCCAUCUGAGACCGCUGAUUCUUUCUAUGAAGUUUUAGACAAUUGCAUUUUGUAUGACCUGGCUCAUGACAGUAAUAACAAAUGACUCCCUUUGAGUCUAGAUUAAAACUGGUUUCCCAUUACGCUAAUUACUUCUAUUGUUCGAAUUUCCUCCUUUAUUUCUUGGUUGUCCAUUUGUAUUCCAACUAACAAGAGCACCAUUAGUGACUUGUGGAGGUUGGAUUCUUUCUGUACGAAGGACACGUGUGAAUGUAUCAUGCAGAGAGAAAAUUUCAGAGCUAGAUAAGAUUUGGAAUUUAGCUAGUCUCAUAUUCUAAAGGAAGACUUACAAGAAAACUCUUAACAACAAUUUGCUCUCGUUGAGCUUGCUAGACCUUUACAUUAGGGUUAAAAGGCAAUAAAAUAUUAAGCUCUUCAUAUACUCUCUUAAACUCCAUAAAAUAAGCUGUAAGAAUCUUAUCCUGUUUCACAGCACGAUAGAAUGCUUUGCAGACAUCAUAAAUACAAGAAAUAUUUUCUUUACCAGAACACAGAAAAUCUAAGUAAUCCAUC